rnacentral:rRNA from 1 species
CAGCCGCCGCGGGAAUACGAAGGGGGCUAGCGUUGUUCGGAUUUACUGGGCGUAAAGCGCACGUAGGCGGACUUUUAAGUCAGGGGUGAAAUCCCGGGGCUCAACCCCGGAACUGCCUUUGAUACUGGAAGUCUUGAGUAUGGUAGAGGUGAGUGGAAUUCCGAGUGUAGAGGUGAAAUUCGUAGAUAUUCGGAGGAACACCAGUGGCGAAGGCGGCUCACUGGACCAUUACUGACGCUGAGGUGCGAAAGCGUGGGGAGCAAACAGGAUUAGAUACCCCAGUAGUCCCUGUCUCUUAUAC